AGGGCCGUAGCCCAACAGGUAGAGGCGCAGAGCUUAGGACUCUGACAGUGCGGGUUCGAAUCCCGUCGGCCCUA
rnacentral:tRNA from 1 species